rnacentral:lncRNA from 1 species
GUUCAGAACUGCAUGCAACGUUGUGACAAAUCAGGGUGAGCCGUUGUCUCCCCUCCCUUGACCGGGAAGGCAGCUCUUGGACGGUUAAUGCGCCCUGAGGCUGCUCGCUUGUUUUUGCCUCAGCGCCACACACUUCAUUCCCCCUGGGUUUCCACUCAACAAACUCAGCAAGGUCCUUGACCUGGCCCCUGGCCCACCUCGGGGAACAGCAUAGCCAACAGCCCCCGGCCAACACACCACCACCAGGAAGGCUGCCCAGAGCCCAGGGCUCACACUCCCGCCUGGCCUUGUGACAUACCCCCCGCAUCAGCUGUGCUCACCUGUUGGACUUCACGACACCACCUGCAGGGCCCGGACUCCGGCUUGGCUGCCCUCCCCCUCUUUCCUGACUUUUGCCUGCAUCCUGGGCUCAGGCCCGGGGCUGUACUCCUGCCCGCAGCCUCCUCCUGCCCUGGGCCCACCCUCGGACCCCGGGCUUCAUUCAGCGUCAGCUCCUGCCCACCGGGAACCUCCAAGUUCUGGCCCUGCCCUACCAGCCUGUGCUCUGAACCUGGCCAAGCCCCCUGGGCAUCUUUGGGACAUGAAUUCCAGGAAAAGAACAUUCUCCCAGGGCUGACCAAGUUCUGGAAAACAGGUUGCCACAGAACAAUUUGUUGACAGCUAUCGAUUGUGUAAGAUGGACGAUGACUGUCCAGCCCAGACACUGCUCCCGGGGGGCAGGUGCUUCAGGAACCCAAGCCACGGAUCAGCCUGCGGCUGGUGAACGUGAGCAUCGAGCGGCAGCGUCCCAUGGGAGGAAGAGCACGGCUCCGGGACAGAACCCGGUUCCCACCGUGGCUUGUGGGGGCCCUGGGCACAUCUCUUAACCAGUUGGGGCCUCCACUGCUCAUUCAGAAAAUGGACAUGGUCGUACCCUCACUAGGACGACUGCAAAAAGCAAAUGCAAGAGCGAAUUCGAAGAGCCCGGCAUGGGCAGUUACACCUCCAUCCCCGAGGAACUGAGCAAAUGGUGUCCCCACUGAAGUCAGAAGAUCCAGCGGGAUUUCCAGUCAGCUGGCAGUUCAGGCAAGUCACUUCUCUGUCAGGAUCCAAGCAGAUAAUGUGCCUGAAAGAGCUUUAGUAAUGACAAUAAUUUGCUGAGCAUCCUAUUGCUUACUAAUAAAUCCUCUUCCCCACUGGGCCUCA